CACGUAGGGUGCGAGCGUUGUCCGGAAUUAUUGGGCGUAAAGAGCUCGUAGGCGGCUCGUCGCGUCGACCGUGAAAACCCGCAGCUUAACUGCGGGCUUGCGGUUGAUACGGGCGGGCUAGAGUUCGGUAGGGGAGACUGGAAUUCCUGGUGUAGCGGUGAAAUGCGCAGAUAUCAGGAGGAACACCGGUGGCGAAGGCGGGUCUCUGGGCCGAUACUGACGCUGAGGAGCGAAAGCGUGGGGAGCGAACAGG
rnacentral:rRNA from 1 species